rnacentral:rRNA from 1 species
AGUGAACGCUGGCGGUAGGCCAAACACAUGCAAGUCGAACGGCAGCACAGGAGAGCUUGCUCUCUGGGUGGCGAGUGGCGGACGGGUGAGGAAUACAUCGGAAUCUACCUUUUCGUGGGGGAUAACGUAGGGAAACUUACGCUAAUACCGCAUACGACCUACGGGUGAAAGUGGGGGACCGCAAGGCCUCACGCGACUAGAUGAGCCGAUGUCCGAUUAGCUAGUUGGCGGGGUAAUGGCCCACCAAGGCGACGAUCGGUAGCUGGUCUGAGAGGAGGAUCAGCCACACUGGAGCUGAGACACGGUCCAGACUCCUACGGGAGGCAGCAGUGGGGAAUAUUGGACAAUGGGCGCAAGCCUGAUCCAGCCAUACCGCGUGGGUGAAGAAGGCCUUCGGGUUGUAAAGCCCUUUUGUUGGGAAAGAAAUCCUAUCGGUUAAUAACCGGUGGGGAUGACGGUACCCAAAGAAUAAGCACCGGCUAACUUCGUGCCAGCCGCCGCAGUAAUAC